AGCAGCCGCGGUAAUUCCAGCUCCAAUAGCGUAUAUUAAAGUUGUUGCAGUUAAAAAGCUCGUAGUUGGAUUUCGGGAUUGGCGCAUCGGUCGUGCCUCACGGGGUAUGAACUGGUGCAGUCAAUUUCUCACCUUCUGGAGAACCGCGAUGUCCUUAAUUGGAUGCCGCGGGGAACCAGGACCUUUACUUUGAAAAAUUAGAGUGUUUAAAGCAGGCAUUUUUGCUUGAAUACAUUAGCAUGGAAUAAUAAAAUAGGACGGCAUGGUUCUAUUUUGUUGGUUUCUAGGACCACCGUAAUGAUUAAUAGGGAUAGUUGGGGGCAUUAGUAUUCAAUUGUCAGAGGUGAAAUUCUUGGAUUUAUUGAAGACUAACUACUGCGAAAGCAUUUGCCAAGGAUGUUUUCAUUAAUCAAGAACGAAAGUUAGGGGAUCGAAGACGAUCAGAUACCGUCGUAGUCUUAACCAUAAACUAUGCCGACUAGGAAUCAGACGAUGUUAAUUUUUAAUGUACUCGUUUGGC
rnacentral:misc_RNA from 1 species